rnacentral:lncRNA from 1 species
AUGCUAGAGAUUUGGAAAGCGCUAUUCCAGAGACCUGAACCUCUCCACCUGCCUGUGAAUUGGCCACCUAAAGGUUGUUACUGUGACACCAAUGUGAAAAAAAAAGAAAAAACCAACUUCCUACUUCUAAUCUGUUUCAAGUCUUUGUCCUCAUUUCUCUCUGCUUGCAUCAAGUAUUGACAGAAAUGAGUCUUCUUUUGCUGAAAUGCCUCGCUCAAUAAAAGGUACGUGAGCUAAAAUUAUUUACA